UACGGAGGAUCCGAGCGUUAUCCGGAUUUAUUGGGUUUAAAGGGUGCGCAGGCGGGAGAUUAAGUCGGCGGUGAAAUUUUGCAGCUCAACUGUAAAAGUGCCUUCGAAACUGGUUUCCUUGAGUGUGGAUGAAGUAGGCGGAAUUUGUGGUGUAGCGGUGAAAUGCAUAGAUAUCACGAGGAACUCCGAUUGCGCAGGCAGCUUACUAAACUACUACUGACGCUCAGGCACGAAGGCGUGGGGAUCAAACAGGAUUAGAUACCCGCGUA
rnacentral:rRNA from 1 species